AUUUAUAUAAUAUAUUUAGUAUAUUUGAUUUCCAAUCAAAAAGAUUAAAAAAAAAUUUAAUAUAAAUA
rnacentral:tRNA from 1 species